UACGUAGGCAGCAAGCGUUGUUCGGAAUUACUGGGCGUAAAGAGUGUGUAGGCGGUGCUCUAAGUUCGGUGUGAAAUCUCCCGGCUCAACUGGGAGGGUGCGCCGGAAACUGGGGGUGCUGGAGCGCGGGAGAGGAAAGCGGAAUUCCUGGUGUAGCGGUGAAAUGCGUAGAUAUCGGGAGGAACACCGGUGGGCGAAGGCGGUUCUCUGGGCCGUUACCUGACGCUGGAGGAGCGAAAGCGUGGGGAGCGAACAGG
rnacentral:rRNA from 1 species